rnacentral:tRNA from 1 species
UCCCGGAUGGUCCAGUGGCUAAGACUCUGCACUCCCAAUGCAGGGUUCCUGGGUUCGAUUCCUGGCGGGGAA